rnacentral:sRNA from 12 species
CCCUCGCGGCAGGGGCCGGAUAGUCCGGAUAGUGCCGCCGAGGUGAGCCGGGGGUGCCUCGUCCGAAAAAGCCCCGGCAGGG